AACCUUAUGGACCUGCGGGCGUAUACCUGCGGAAGGAUCAUUACACAAUACAAUAUGAAGGCUGUCCGCAGCUGGAGUAUUUUAUUACCCUUGUCUUUUGCGCACUUGUUGUUUCCUGGGCGGGUUCGCUCGCCACCAGGACCACCAAAUAAACCUUUUUUAUGCAGUUGCAAUCAGCGUCAGUACAAACAAUGUAAAUCAUUUACAACUUUCAGCAACGGAUCUCAGAUCGGAAGAGCA
rnacentral:misc_RNA from 1 species